rnacentral:rRNA from 1 species
UACGUAGGGGGCAAGCGUUGUCCGGAUUCAUUGGGCGUAAAGAGCUCGUAGGCGGUUCGGUAAGUCAGGUGUGAAAUCUCCACGCUCAACGUGGAGCGGCCACCUGAUACUGCCGUGACUCGAGUCCGGUAGGGGAGUAUGGAAUUCCCGGUGUAGCGGUGAAAUGCGCAGAUAUCGGGAGGAACACCAGUGGCGAAGGCGGUACUCUGGGCCGGAACUGACGCUGAGGAGCGAAAGCGUGGGGA